GGGAGAGAGCGUCAAUCCGAAAGCCAGCCAGUGAGAGAGAGGAGGGAGCCCGCCCAGGGUUAACAGUUGAGUGUGCACCGGCCAGCAGCAGCAACAGCAGGAACAGCAAGCGGCCAGACAAGCCAGCCACCGCCAUGGAUCCCGAGGCAUUUUUAGAGAUGGCCAACCAGGUCACAAAACUGAAAAUGUAUCCGUAUUUUGACAUAGCUCACUGUACCCUGUGCUGCCUCUACGUGAGAGACGAUUUGGGCACCGGCUCCCUCCCCUUCUCUCGCAAACACCCUCUGGCAAACUGGCUUUCCACAAUGCUUACUAUCUUUGCUGGUGGCCUCCUCACCAACUUCCUCCUGGGUGAGCCUGUCUUGGGGGCUCUCAAGAAUAACCAACAGCUGCUCCUGGCCACUGCUGUCUGGUAUGUCAUCUUUUACUCUCCUUUCGAUAUUGGAUACAAGAUUGCCAAGUUCCUCCCUAUCAAAGUUCUUCUGGCAGCCAUGAAGGAAGUUUACAGGGUUAAGAAGAUCAAUGAUGGAGUGACGCAUGCUGCCAAGGUCUUCCCCAACGGCUACCUUAGCAUGAUCCUCAUUGGCACAAUCAAGGGCAAUGGAUCAGGCUUCCUCAAAAUAAUGGAAAGGUUGAUGCGCGGUGUCUGGACUCCUACUGCUGUGGAGGUCAUGCAACCCACCUUCCCCACCAAGGCUUCCAUUGCUGCUGCUAUCAUCUUUGUGUUGGACAAGAAGACUGACCUCAUUUCUGCUCCCCAUGCCCUUGUUUACUUUGGUAUCUGCAUCUUCUUUGUCUACUUCAAGCUUUCUUCUCUGCUCCUUGGGAUCCAUGAUCCCUUCAUACCUUUCGAGAACCUCUUCUGUGCUAUUUUCAUGGGAGGCAUCUGGGACUCUCUGGCCCAGACCCUGGCUGGCAAAAAGGGUGCUGCAGCUGAGAAGGGGUCUGAUGCUGUCAAAAAUGGUAAUGGGAAAAACAAGCGUGAUUGAAGGAGACCGGGUUGUGUGGCUUAAGUAGCGUGAGUCCACUAACUGACCCUGACCUGUCUGUUUUUUGGAGGGAAGAUGGCAGCAGUAAGAAGACACUAGUAACAGGUGUGCGGGAGACCCAGAUAACUUAGUCACAAAUAUAACAACAUCUGUGGAAUUGGCUAUUGGAUGAUGUGAGACUAUGGAGAAGACUAAAUGAAGCUAAACGACUGCAACUCAUCGACCUUACUUGUGGACCUCCCAGCCUCCCCUCCACCCACCGUGUGUGUUUGUGUGUGCAUGUGUGUGUUUCAGGUCCACUCAGCGGUUGUGUAAUAUACAGAUACAUGUAAUAACAAUAUGUAUAGGCCACAAACUUCACCUCAAAUAAGGGUUGUGAUGGCCUGUGUAUGUGCGGGGGAUGAAGGGGAGGCAAACUUGUGCUAUGUGUCACUGUUUGAUUAUUAAUGUUAGAAAAAAAUUGCUAAAACGGUUUUGGGCGCUUUUGAUAUAUUCUUAAACUGAAUAUGUACAAUGAAAUACACCUACUGCCUAUAGAGAAGGCUGCAAAUAUCUUAUGUAGUAAGAAACAUCAGGUACAAACAUUUUUUACCAGAAGAUGUUAGAGAAAUUUUAUAAGAAUAUGUAUUAUGAUGCUGAAGUAUGAAAAUUAAGGCCAAGUACUCAUAUUGAGAAAACACCAAAAAAUUUCUGUUACCAGUAAUUUUUGCAGGUUAUACUCUGUGUGUGUGUGUGUGUGUGUGUGUGUGUGUGUGUGUGUGUGUGUGUGUGUGUGUGUGUAUGUGUGCAGAUGUCUGAAUGUAGGAAAGAUCCAAUAGUAGGUGUUGAUGUCUUUUUACUAGUCAUUGUGUGUGUGAGUGAGUGGGUGGAUGUGUGCAUGUAUGUACUUGUUUGAUUAUGAUCUCGAUAGUGUCAUAUCUCAGAUUCUAUGUCUACUACUAGUCUACAUGCGUCUGUGUGCGUGCCUACUCCCCUGUUCAUGCAUGUGUGUAUAUCCUCAAAUAAAGCAUCCUUACAAAUAUAAUCAAGAAAAUCUAGUUUUUGUCUCAUGUGAAAUGAAACAACCUUGUUAAAUUUUUUGCAAAAAAGUAAAAUUUUUGAUCCUA